rnacentral:rRNA from 1 species
CCGGAACUGUCAGGCUAGAGUGCAGGAGAGGAAGGUAGAAUUCCCGGUGUAGCGGUGAAAUGCGUAGAGAUCGGGAGGAAUACCAGUGGCGAAGGCGGCCUUCUGGACUGACACUGACACUGAGGUGCGAAAGCGUGGGUAGCAAACAGGAUUAGAUACCCUGGUAGUCCACGCCGUAAACGAUGUCGACCAGCCGUUGGGUGCCUAGAGCACUUUGUGGCGAAGUUAACGCGAUAAGUCGACCGCCUGGGGAGUACGGCCGCAAGGUUAAAACUCAAAUGAAUUGACGGGGGCCCGCACAAGCGGUGGAGCAUGUGGUUUAAUUCGAUGCAACGCGAAGAACCUUACCUACCCUUGACAUCUACAGAAGCCGGAAGAGAUUCUGGUGUGCCUUCGGGAACUGUAAGACAGGUGCUGCAUGGCUGUCGUCAGCUCGUGUUGUGAAAUGUUGGGUUAAGUCCCGUAACGAGCGCAACCCUUGUCCUUAUUUGCCAGCGAGUAAUGUCGGGAACUCUAAGGAGACUGCCGGUGACAAACCGGAGGAAGGUGGGGACGACGUCAAGUCAUCAUGGCCCUUACGGGUAGGGCUACACACGUGCUACAAUGGCCGGUACAAAGGGCUGCGAGCUCGCGAGAGUCAGCGAAUCCCUUAAAGCCGGUCUCAGUCCGGAUCGGAGUCUGCAACUCGACUCCGUGAAGUCGGAAUCGCUAGUAAUCGUGAAUCAGAAUGUCACGGUGAAUACGUUCCCGGGCCUUGUACACACCGCCCGUCACACCAUGGGAGUGGACUGCACCAGAAGUGGUUAGCCUAUACGCAAGA